rnacentral:rRNA from 1 species
CCCUACGGGUGGCUGCAGUGGGGAAUCUUAGACAAUGGGCGCAAGCCUGAUCUAGCCAUGCCGCGUGAGCGAUGAAGGCCUUAGGGUUGUAAAGCUCUUUCAGUGGGGAAGAUAAUGACGGUACCCACAGAAGAAGCCCCGGCUAACUCCGUGCCAGCAGCCGCGGUAAUACGGAGGGGGCUAGCGUUGUUCGGAAUUACUGGGCGUAAAGCGCACGUAGGCGGACCAGAAAGUCAGGGGUGAAAUCCCGGGGCUCAACCCCGGAACUGCCUUUGAAACUCCUGGUCUUGAGGUCGAGAGAGGUGAGUGGAAUUCCGAGUGUAGAGGUGAAAUUCGUAGAUAUUCGGAGGAACACCAGUGGCGAAGGCGGCUCACUGGCUCGAUACUGACGCUGAGGUGCGAAAGCGUGGGGAGCAAACAGGAUUAGAUACCCUAGUAGUC